GCCGUCUUAGCUCAGUGGUAGAGCGCGUGAUUUUAAAUCUCCACAGACGGCG
rfam:Brassica napus, WGS project CCCW01000000 data, contig: 10844